CUCCUCCUCUUUCCUCCUCCUCUUCUUUUUCUUAUUCUCUCUCUCCUCUUCUUCUUGUUUAUCCUACGUCAGUAGAUCCCUUGUUUUGAAUUUAAUAACUUUGUCUUGUUUGAUUUUUAAGAAAUAAUUGUUGCAGCAAUUAACUGUUGCUCCUUUUUCAAUUGAAUUUAUAUGCAAUUUGGCUACAAGGUGGCUUCUUUAAACAAGAAAACAAUAAGGG
rnacentral:lncRNA from 1 species